UAGUCCACGCCCUAAACGAUGUACACUAGUUGUUGUGAGGCUAGACCUUGCAGUAAUGCAGUUAACACAUUAAGUGUACCGCCUGGGGAGUACGGUCGCAAGAUUAAAACUCAAAGGAAUAGACGGGGACCCGCACAAGCGGUGGAGCAUGUGGUUUAAUUCGACGAUACGCGAAGAACCUUACCUGGACUUGACAUAGAAAGAAUAACGCAGAGAUGUGAUAGUGCUUGCUUGCAAGAACUUUCAUACAGGUGCUGCACGGCUGUCGUCAGCUCGUGUCGUGAGAUGUUGGGUUAAGUCCCCGCAACGAGCGCAACCCUCGUCGUUAGUUGCUAACAGUUCGGCUGAGAACUCUAACGAGACUGCCUGGGUAACCAGGAGGAAGGUGAGGACGACGUCAAGUCAUCAUGGCCCUUACGUCCAGGGCUACACACGUGCUACAAUGGCGUGUACAGAGGGAAGCUACCUGGUAACAGGAUGCAAAUCUUUAAAGCACGUCCC
rnacentral:rRNA from 1 species